GAUGAACGCUGGCGGCGUGCCUAAUACAUGCAAGUAGAACGCUGAAGGAGGAGCUUGCUCUUCUGGAUGAGUUGCGAACGGGUGAGUAACGCGUAGGUAACCUGCCUGGUAGCGGGGGAUAACUAUUGGAAACGAUAGCUAAUACCUUAUGACAACAGUUAUUGCAUGAUAACUGUUUAAAAGGGGCAACUGCUCCACUACCAGAUGGACCUGCGUUGUAUUAGCUAGUUGGUGAGGUAACGGCUCACCAAGGCGACGAUACAUAGCCGACCUGAGAGGGUGAUCGGCCACACUGGGACUGAGACACGGCCCAGACUCCUACGGGAGGCAGCAGUAGGGAAUCUUCGGCAAUGGACGGAAGUCUGACCGAGCAACGCCGCGUGAGUGAAGAAGGUUUUCGGAUCGUAAAGCUCUGUUGUAAGAGAAGAACGAGUGUGAGAGUGGAAAGUUCACACUGUGACGGUAUCUUACCAGAAAGGGACGGCUAACUACGUG
rnacentral:rRNA from 1 species